GGGCUCACACAAGCGGUGGAGGAUGUGGCUUAAUUCGAGGCUACGCGAAGAACCUUACCCAGGCUUGACGUGUCUAGGAAUUCCUGUGAAAGCAGGAAGUGCCCUUCGGGGAACCUUAGCGCAGGUGCUGCAUGGCUGUCGUCAGCUCGUGUCGUGAGAUGUCGGGUUAAGUCCCUUAACGAGCGCAACCCCUACCGUUAGUUGCCAGCGUGUAAUGACGGGGACUCUAACGGAACUGCCGGUGCAAACCGUGAGGAAGGUGGGGGAUGACGUCAAAUCAUCAUGCCCCUUAUGUCUUGGGGCCUUCACGCAUGCUACAAUGGCCCGGUACAGAGGGCUGCAAUAACCCGUAAGGUGGAGCGAA
rnacentral:rRNA from 1 species